AUACGGAGGAUGCAAACGUUGCUCGGAAUUAUUGGGCGUAAAGCGCGUGUAGGCGGUCGGCUAAGUCGGAUGUGAAAGCCCCGGGCUCAACCCGGGAAGUGCGUCCGAUACUGGCAGACUUGAGUACGGGAGAGGGUAGCGGAAUUCCCGGUGUAGAGGUGAAAUUCGUAGAUAUCGGGAGGGACACCAGUGGCGAAGGCGACUACCUGGACCGAUACUGACGCUGAGACGCGAAAGCAUGGGGAGCAAACAGGAGUAGAAACCCCAGUAGUCC
rnacentral:rRNA from 1 species